CUUUGAAUAAGAGCACGUCACUUCUAGGUAAAUUUACACAGAAAUUAAAUUUCGGUGCCCCUCGUUUUAGACAUAAUGCUAGGCUGAAUUUUUAUAGCGCACUGAUCGAUAUCUUGGUAAAAUAAUCAUUUUUUUUUAAACUAGCGGGGCAGUGAAAUCUUUGCUUUGUUGCUAAAGUCAACAGUGACAGAGUUUGAGCUCAAAUAAAUGCCGUGAGGCUUCCAGCCCUGUGCAGAAGGCAGCGGGAGAGGCUACGAUUAUCGUGCUGCAGACUCCAGAACCAAUCAGCAGCCCUCUUCACUGUCAUGCCAUGCCUCUUCACCAUGUGGCAACUGCUGGUUCAACCCGUUCUAUCAACCACGUUCACCUGCAGCUACCCACAGUCACGUCUGACCUGGAUGCAUGAGCAAGAUAACAUUCACAUCUGCAACGUCAAGAGAGAGGGGCACAAGGAAGCCUGACAUUAAUGAUUAACAGCGCUAAAAGCCCCUGCUUUUGUAUUCCCAUGGUGCCGGGGCUAUCUGCCGAUCAUGUGACCUGCACGGAGAAGAUUGGGGGAGUGAGCGCAAAAGCAAACACAGGUGUUUGGGCUGGAGUCGGUCGGUGCUGUUAGGGACAACUGCAAACACAGUCUGCCAUGCCUGGAGACGCGAGCGCCCGCCCACACCAACAGGACAGCCAACCGGAAUCACUGACUCAACUCUGACGGGCUCUGCCUGACAUUUCACUUGACAAUUAAGGCUCUUCAUUGGCCUAUUAAAGUCUGCUGUUUUAUUACAGUUUGACCUAAGGAGCUAUGGAUUCUUAAUUAAGCAUCAUAAACAGGCAUAGCCAUAAACAAAUAAAUGAUGCUUUUUCUUUAAAAACUUUUAGGCCUAUGUAGUUUAUUUCCUUGUACUUGGAUGAACUUUUUUUUUUUUUAAAUGCAACCUUAAACAAAAUAAACAUGUUGUGAUCCACAAAUGAU